rnacentral:rRNA from 1 species
CCUACGGGUGGCUGCAGUGAGGAAUAUUGGUCAAUGGGCGCAAGCCUGAACCAGCCAUCCCGCGUGAAGGAUGAAGGCCCUAUGGGUCGUAAACUUCUUUUAUAUGCCAAGAAAACGACCUACGAGUAGGUUUUUGACGGUAGUAUAUGAAUAAGCAUCGGCUAACUCCGUGCCAGCAGCCGCGGUAAUACGGAGGAUGCGAGCGUUAUCCGGAUUCAUUGGGUUUAAAGGGUGCGUAGGCGGUUUUUUAAGUCAGUGGUGAAAUCCUGCGGCUCAACCGUAGAACUGCCAUUGAAACUGAAAAACUUGAAUAUAAUUGAGGUAGGCGGAAUGAGUAGUGUAGCGGUGAAAUGCUUAGAUAUUACUCAGAACACCAAUUGCGAAGGCAGCUUACCAAGCUGUAAUUGACGCUGAGGCACGAAAGCGUGGGGAUCGAACAGGAUUAGAUACCCCAGUAGUC